rnacentral:sRNA from 1 species
GCCAAGUGCAGUAGCGCACACCUGUAAUCCCAGCAGCUCAGGAGGCUGAGGCAGGAGGAUCACGAGUUCAAAGCCAGCCUCAGCAAAAGAGAGGCACUAAGCAACUCAGUGAGAUCCUGUCUCUA